GAUGAACGCUGGCGGCGUGCCUAAUACAUGCAAGUCGAGCGAAUGGAUUAAGAGCUUGCUCUUAUGAAGUUAGCGGCGGACGGGUGAGUAACACGUGGGUAACCUGCCCAUAAGACUGGGAUAACUCCGGGAAACCGGGGCUAAUACCGGAUAACAUUUUGAACCGCAUGGUUUGAAAUUGAAAGGCGGCUUCGGCUGUCACUUAUGGAUGGACCCGCGUCGCAUUAGCUAGUUGGUGAGGUAACGGCUGACCAAGGCAAUGAUGCGUAGCCGACCUGAGAGGGUGAUCGGCCACACUGGGACUGAGACACGGCCCAGACUCCUACGGGAGGCAGCAGUAGGGAAUCUUCCGCAAUGGACGAAAGUCUGACGGAGCAACGCCGCGUGAGUGAUGAAGGCUUUCGGGUCGUAAAACUCUGUUGUUAGGGAAGAACAAGUGCUAGUUGAAUAAGCUGGCACCUUGACGGUACCUAACCAGAAAGCCACGGCUAACUACGUGCCAGCCGCCGCCGUAA
rnacentral:rRNA from 1 species